AUUAGGGUCUGCUACCUAAGCAAUUGGGCCCAUACCCCAAAAACGAUACUACAAUCCCCUGAUA
rnacentral:tRNA from 1 species